rnacentral:rRNA from 1 species
GCCGGCAGCUCGCUCUCUGCAACUUUCACAUGGUCGCCCACUGAAGCUGAGCAUGGCUGAUCCUGGUCAGUGUGUGGAUGGGAGACCACAUGGGAAAGCUGGGUUGCUGUUGGCA